rnacentral:rRNA from 1 species
CGAACGGAUGUUUUCGGACACUAGUGGCGGACGGGUGAGUAACGCGUGAGGAUCUGCCCUCAGGAUGGGGACAACAGUUGGAAACGACUGCUAAUACCCGAUGUGCCGAAAGGUGAAACUAUUUGGCCUGAGGAUGAGCUCGCGUCUGAUUAGCUAGUUGGAGUGGUAAUGGCACACCAAGGCGACGAUCAGUAGCUGGUCUGAGAGGAUGAUCAGCCACACUGGAACUGAGACACGGCCCAGACUCCUACGGGAGGCAGCAGUGGGGAAUUUUCCGCAAUGGGCGAAAGCCUGACGGAGCAAGACCGCGUGGGGGACGAAGGUUUGUGGAUUGUAAACCCCUUUUGAUUGGGAAGAAGUUCUGACGGUACCAAUCGAAUCAGCAUCGGCUAACUCCGUGCCAGCAGCCGCGGUAAUACGGAGGAUGCAAGCGUUAUCCGGAAUUAUUGGGCGUAAAGCGUCCGUAGGUGGUUGGUCAAGUCAGUUGUUAAAGCGUGGGGCUUAACCCCAUAAAGGCAAAUGAAACUGGUCAGCUAGAGUGCGAUAGGGGCAAGGGGAAUUUCCAGUGUAGCGGUGAAAUGCGUAGAUAUUGGAAAGAACACCGGUGGCGAAAGCGCCUUGCUGGGUCUGCACUGACACUGAGGGACGAAAGCUAGGGGAGCGAAAGGGAUUAGAUACCCCUGUAGUCCUAGCCGUAAACGAUGGAUACUAGGCGUUGUCCGUAUCGACCCGAGCCGUGCCG